GCGCGAUCGCCUUAAGUUUGAUCAUGGCUCAGGAUGAACGCUAGCGGCAGGCUUAAUACAUGCAAGUCGAGGGGCAGCAGGGGUGUAGCAAUACACUCGCUGGCGACCGGCAAACGGGUGCGGAACACGUACGCAACUUACCCAAAACUGGGGGAUAGCCCGGGGAAACCCGGAUUAAUACCUCGUAAUAUCAUUGAGUGGCAUCGCUUGAUGAUUAUAGCUCCGGCGGUUUUGGAUGGGCGUGCGCCUGAUUAGGUAGUUGGUUGAGGUAACGGCUCACCAAGCCUGCGAUCAGUAACUGGUGUGAGAGCACGACCAGUCACACGGGCACUGAGACACGGGCCCGACUCCUACGGGAGGCAGCAGUAAGGAAUAUUGGUCAAUGGACGCAAGUCUGAACCAGCCAUGCCGCGUGAAGGAUGAAGGUCCUCUGGAUUGUAAACUUCUUUUAUAUGGGACGAAACCUGGGAAUUCUUUUCCAAUUGACGGUACCAUAGGAAUAAGCACCGGCUAACUCCGUGCCAGCAGCCGCGGUAAUACGGAGGGUGCAAGCGUUAUCCGGAUUCACUGGGUUUAAAGGGUGCGUAGGAGGGCAGGUAAGUCAGUGGUGAAAUCCUGGGGCUUAACCCCAGAACUGCCGUUGAUACUAUCUGUCUUGAAUACCGUGGAGAUGAGCGGAAUAUGUCAUGUAGCGGUGAAAUGCUUAGAUAUGACAUAGAACACCAAUUGCGAAGGCAGCUCGUUACACGAAUAUUGACU
rnacentral:rRNA from 1 species